CCUACGGGAGGCAGCAGUGAGGAAUAUUGAUCAAUGGACGAGAGUCUGAACCAGCCAAGUAGCGUGAAGGAUGACUGCCCUAUGGGUUGUAAACUUCUUUUAUAUGGGAAUAAAACGUUCCACGUGUGGGAUUUUGUAUGUACCAUAUGAAUAAGGAUCGGCUAACUCCGUGCCAGCAGCCGCGGUAAUACGGAGGAUCCGAGCGUUAUCCGGAUUUAUUGGGUUUAAAGGGAGCGUAGGUGGAUUGUUAAGUCAGUUGUGAAAGUUUGCGGCUCAACCGUAAAAUUGCAGUUGAAACUGGCAGUCUUGAGUACAGUAGAGGUGGGCGGAAUUCGUGGUGUAGCGGUGAAAUGCUUAGAUAUCACGAAGAACUCCGAUUGCGAAGGCAGUUCACUGGACUGCAACUGACACUGAGGCUCGAAAGUGUGGGUAUCAAACAGGAUUAGAUACCCCAGUAGUC
rnacentral:rRNA from 1 species